rnacentral:rRNA from 1 species
ACGCUGGCGGCGUGCCUAAUACAUGCAAGUCGAGCGAAUGGAUUGAGAGCUUGCUCUCAAGAAGUUAGCGGCGGACGGGUGAGCAACACGUGGGUAACCUGCCCAUAAGACUGGGAUAACUCCGGGAAACCGGGGCUAAUACCGGAUAACAUUUUGAACUGCAUGGUUCGAAAUUGAAAGGCGGCUUCGGCUGUCACUUAUGGAUGGACCCGCGUCGCAUUAGCUAGUUGGUGAGGUAACGGCUCACCAAGGCAACGAUGCGUAGCCGACCUGAGAGGGUGAUCGGCCACACUGGGACUGAGACACGGCCCAGACUCCUACGGGAGGCAGCAGUAGGGAAUCUUCCGCAAUGGACGAAAGUCUGACGGAGCAACGCCGCGUGAGUGAUGAAGGCUUUCGGGUCGUAAAACUCUGUUGUUAGGGAAGAACAAGUGCUAGUUGAAUAAGCUGGCACCUUGACGGUACCUAACCAGAAAGCCACGGCUAACUACGUGCCAGCAGCCGCGGUAAUACGUAGGUGGCAAGCGUUAUCCGGAAUUAUUGGGCGUAAAGCGCGCGCAGGUGGUUUCUUAAGUCUGAUGUGAAAGCCCACGGCUCAACCGUGGAGGGUCAUUGGAAACUGGGAGACUUGAGUGCAGAAGAGGAAAGUGGAAUUCCAUGUGUAGCGGUGAAAUGCGUAGAGAUAUGGAGGAACACCAGUGGCGAAGGCGACUUUCUGGUCUGUAACUGACACUGAGGCGCGAAAGCGUGGGGAGCAAACAGGAAUAGAUACCCUGGUAGU